rnacentral:lncRNA from 10 species
UGGAGGAUCACCCACAGUCUCCCAGCUGCCUCCACCUACAGAUAAGGAGGAAAGGGUGGGGAAUGUGCUUCUAGUGAGCUGAAUCCCAGCCUGGACUCAGGGCUGAUCCCCAUCCCCAAAGGGCUCAGAAGUGAUUCAGGCUGCAGGCAUCCCAAGUUGAGGUUCAAGAGAGUUAUGCCCAGGAGCCCUGGAUUUUCUGAGUUUGAUGGGAUCUGGACUCUCUCUGCUAUGGGGUCAGCCCUCCUGGAGUCCACCCCAGCUUGAGCACUGGAAGCCUGCCCUGGAUUGGACAGGAACCCUGCAUUUCUCCCACUGGCACUCACCCUCCGCCGAUCAAAUUAUAUCCUCGGCUUCCUCAGCAGUACAAUCUUCAGAGGACUGUGGAGAGGAUUAAACUGUUAUUACUGUACAUGAGAAGUGCUUACAUCAGUGCCUGCUCACAAUUUACA